GGGGGGGCCUAUACAUGCAGUCGAGCGAACAGAUAAGGAGCUUGCUCCUUUGACGUUAGCGGCGGACGGGUGAGUAACACGUGGGUAACCUACCUAUAAGACUGGGAUAACUUCGGGAAACCGGAGCUAAUACCGGAUAACAUUUGGAACCGCAUGGUUCUAAAGUGAAAGAUGGUUUUGCUAUCACUUAUAGAUGGACCCGCGCCGUAUUAGCUAGUUGGUAAGGUAACGGCUUACCAAGGCGACGAUACGUAGCCGACCUGAGAGGGUGAUCGGCCACACUGGAACUGAGACACGGUCCAGACUCCUACGGGAGGCAGCAGUAGGGAAUCUUCCGCAAUGGGCGAAAGCCUGACGGAGCAACGCCGCGUGAGUGAUGAAGGGUUUCGGCUCGUAAAACUCUGUUAUUAGGGAAGAACAAACGUGUAAGUAACUGUGCACGUCUUGACGGUACCUAAUCAGAAAGCCACGGCUAACUACGUGCCAGCAGCCGCGGUAAUACGUAGGUGGCAAGCGUUAUCCGGAAUUAUUGGGCGUAAAGCGCGCGUAGGCGGUUUCUUAAGUCUGAUGUGAAAGCCCACGGCUCAACCGUGGAGGGUCAUUGGAAACUGGGAAACUUGAGUGCAGAAGAGGAAAGUGGAAUUCCAUGUGUAGCGGUGAAAUGCGCAGAGAUAUGGAGGAACACCAGUGGCGAAGGCGACUUUCUGGUCUGUAACUGACGCUGAUGUGCGAAAGCGUGGGGAUCAAACAGGAUUAGAUACCCUGGUAGUCCACGCCGUAAACGAUGAGUGCUAAGUGUUAGGGGGUUUCCGCCCCUUAGUGCUGCAGCUAACGCAUUAAGCACUCCGCCUGGGGAGUACGACCGCAAGGUUGAAACUCAAAGGAAUUGACGGGGACCCGCACAAGCGGUGGAGCAUGUGGUUUAAUUCGAAGCAACGCGAAGAACCUUACCAAAUCUUGACAUCCUUUGAAAACUCUAGAGAUAGAGCCUUCCCCUUCGGGGGACAAAGUGACAGGUGGUGCAUGGUUGUCGUCAGCUCGUGUCGUGAGAUGUUGGGUUAAGUCCCGCAACGAGCGCAACCCUUAAGCUUAGUUGCCAUCAUUAAGUUGGGCACUCUAGGUUGACUGCCGGUGACAAACCGGAGGAAGGUGGGGAUGACGUCAAAUCAUCAUGCCCCUUAUGAUUUGGGCUACACACGUGCUACAAUGGACAAUACAAAGGGCAGCUAAACCGCGAGGUCAUGCAAAUCCCAUAAAGUUGUUCUCAGUUCGGAUUGUAGUCUGCAACUCGACUACAUGAAGCUGGAAUCGCUAGUAAUCGUAGAUCAGCAUGCUACGGUGAAUACGUUCCCGGGUCUUGUACACACCGCCCGUCACACCACGAGAGUUUGUAACACCCGAAGCCGGUGGAGUAACCAUUUAUGGAGACU
rnacentral:rRNA from 1 species